GCCGGACGCGGUGGCGCGCGCCUGUAGUCCCAGCUACCCGGGAGGCUGAGGCAGGAGGAUCGCUUGAGUCCAGGAGUUCUGGGCUGUAGUGCGCUAUGCCGAUCGGGUGUCCGCACUAAGUUCGGCAUCAAUAUGGUGACCUCCCGGGAGCGGGGGACCACCAGGUUGCCUAAGAGGGUGAACCGCCCAGGUCGGAAACGGAGCAGGUCAAAACUCCCGUGCUGAUCAGUAGUGGGAUCGCGCCUGUGAAGAGCCACUGCACUCCAGCCUGGGCAACAUAGCGAGACCCCGUCUCU
rnacentral:SRP_RNA from 1 species